AGUUCGGAUCCCCUGAUAGCAGAGUUCUGCUGUGCUGAUCCGGCAAACCUCCCGACCUUCUCCGCAACUGGUAACACGUCAUAUCUUCUCUUCACUUCGGACGGGACAAAUGAGUUCAAAGGCUUCGAAAUCCGGGCCCGUUCAAACGGGGCAACAACUACGACUUAGACAACAACAAGUACCACCAGCACUACGUCCGCGACCAGCUCUAAGUCAACAACGUAAUCAACGAAUAGCACUACUUCGGUCGCGUCAACAUCAACAACAAGCCGGGCUACAACCCAAGCAGCAACGACAGCAGACUUCAUUACCAUUAACCUUCAUCCAGAGCAACCAUUGACUUUCUUAUGAACUAAUGACUUCCUUAGAAACAAUUUAUCUAUUAUUUGUUAUUUACAUCAAACAAAUAAAGAUGAAAUAUGU